UGGGUAACCUGCCUCAAAGAGGGGAAUAGCCUCCCGAGAGGGAGAUUAAUACCGCAUAAUAUGUUUUAGUCGCAUGACUUAAACAUCAAAGGAUUUUCUUUUAGAACUUCCACUUUGAGAUGGACCCGCGGCGCAUUAGUUAGUUGGUGAGGUAACGGCUCACCAAGGCAACGAUGCGUAGCCGACCUGAGAGGGUGAUCGGCCACAUUGGAACUGAGACACGGUCCAGACUCCGUAGGAGG
rnacentral:rRNA from 1 species